CCUGAGGACCAUUCAGUGAACUGACUGGGAGGGUAUUUCAGCCCCGAAGAGGGAACCGCGUCAGGGGGACACCAAGGUCAAAGUGGCCAGAGGUUUGGAACUGGGGGAAGAGAGGUUCUGGUGACAAAAGAACACCCUGGAAGGAAAGAGUGGAAAACCCGAGGUGACCGAAAGGAGCUGGCAGCUUCCCCCGGACGAGGACACAGACGGGGAAAGGCCCUGAAAGUCCAGGAAGAAAGAAAUGACGGUGGAGAAAAAAGGCGGAGCGGGAGAAAGGCGGAGAAACGGAGAGAAAAGACGGAGAAUCCUUAGAAGAAAAAGCGUCUUGGCUGCAUGGGGCCGGGAGAGUCUGCAAACACCUGGAGACGGGGAAGGAGGGGGCGGCCUGGGAGUUUCAUUCUUGGUGGCAUCUGCUUUGCACCCAGAAGCGAGGCCAGCUGGUGACAGAAGCGGCAUCUGUGCCGCCUCCCAGGUGUUCUCGCACCCAGUCUUCACGGGUCUCACUCACAGCACAUGGAGGUUCCCAGGCUAGGCGUAAAAUCGGAGCUGCAGCUGCUGGCCUACACCACAGCCACAGCAACGCCCGAUCCGAGCCGCCUCUGCGACCUACACCACAGCUCACGGCAACACCAGAUCCUCAACCCACUGAGCCAGGCCAGGGAUUGAACCCACAACCUCAUGGUCCCUGGGAUUCGUUUCCGCUGCGCCACAACAGGAACUCUGAGUUUUACACCUUUUGAAAGAGGGUUUGUUUUCCAUUGGUUAUCUUUUACUCCCUAAGACGGCUCCUCAAGGUACAAGGGGCAUCUGAGAAAACGUACUCAUUUCGCAGUAUAUCCGUACGUCGCAUCGUCACGCCGCACACCUGAGGCCAACAUGAUGCUCCACAUUGAUGACGCCUCCCUUCCAAAGCUCAUCCUCUUGGAGCGUACAGCUCACGCGUGCCCACCACGCAGCCAGCCCCGUGACCUCCACCACCGCCGAAUCUCAGACCAUUCCCGUCGCCCGGAAUGCGCUCCUGUCCCUUCGUCCGUCACCUCCUCCACCCUCAGCACCUCUGAUAGAUGUUCCAAUAUUUUCGCCUUUUCCAGAAUGUCAUGUAAAUCGAAUCAUACAGCAGAUAGCUUUUAGAGUCUGGCUCCUUUUGUCUUCAUAAUGCUUUUGAGGCCCUCCUAUUCCUGUGCUGGUAACUGUUUAUUGCUGAGCAGUGUCCACUGCCUGGAUGUGACACUGGUUCUUCAUCCAAGUGCCCAGUAAUGGC
rnacentral:lncRNA from 1 species